UACGUAGGGGGCGAGCGUUGUCCGGAAUUACUGGGCGUAAAGAGAGCGUAGGCGGCACUACAAGUCUCAUGUGAAAUACCCGGGCUUAACUUGGGGGUUGCAUGGGAAACUGUAGAGCUUGGGUACAGGAGAGGCAAGCGGAAUUCCUAGUGUAGCGGUGAAAUGCAUAGAUAUUAGGAGGAACACCAGUGGCGAAGGCGGCUUGCUGGACUGAAACUGACGCUGAGGCUCGAAAGCGUGGGGAGCAAACAGG
rnacentral:rRNA from 1 species